rnacentral:rRNA from 1 species
AGAGUUUGAUCAUGGCUCAGGAUGAACGCUAGCGGCAGGCCUAAUACAUGCAAGUCGAGGGGCAGCGCAGUGUAGCAAUACAUGGGCGGCGACCGGCAAACGGGUGCGGAACACGUACACAACCUUCCUUUUAGUGGAGCAUAGCCCAGGGAAACUUGGAUUAAUACUCCGUAACAUAACGAUAUGGCAUCAUAUUGUUAUUAUAGAAGCAAUUCGCUAGAAGACGGGUGUGCGGCUGAUUAGAUAGUUGGCGGGGUAACGGCCCACCAAGUCCACGAUCAGUAACUGGUGUGAGAGCACGACCAGUCACACGGGCACUGAGACACGGGCCCGACUCCUACGGGGGGCGGCAGUAAGGAAUAUUGGUCAAUGGACGCAAGUCUGAACCAGCCAUGCCGCGUGGAGGAUGAAGGCCCUCUGGGUUGUAAACUUCUUUUAUAGGGGACGAAAAAGGGUCUUUCUAGAUCAACUGACGGUACCCUAGGAAUAAGCACCGGCUAACUCCGUGCCAGCAGCCGCGGUAAUACGGAGGGUGCAAGCGUUAUCCGGAUUCACUGGGUUUAAAGGGUGCGUAGGUGGGUUAGUAAGUCAGUGGUGAAAUCUUCGAGCUUAACUCGGAAACUGCCAUUGAUACUAUUAGUCUUGAAUAUUGUGGAGGUUAGCGGAAUAUGUCAUGUAGCGGUGAAAUGCUUAGAUAUGACAUAGAACACCAAUUGCGAAGGCAGCUGGCUACACAUAUAUUGACACUGAGGCACGAAAGCGUGGGGAUCAAACAGGAUUAGAUACCCUGGUAGUCC